AGGUUUAGAUUCAUUAUAAGGAAGAAGUUUUUUACAAGGAGGGUGGUGAGAUACUGGAACAGGUGGCCCAGAGAGGG